UGAGGAACAUGACCUUCGGCGGGGGAUAGCCGGCCCAACGGCCGGGUAAUACCGCGUACGACCAUUUGGGGACAUCCCCGAGUGGUGAAAGCAGCAAUGCGCCGAUGGAGUGCCUCGCGGCCUAUCAGCUAGUUGGUGGGGUAACGGCUCACCAAGGCAACGGACGGGUAGCUGGUCUGAGAGGAUGGCCAGCCACAUUGGGACUGAGACACGGCCCAGACUCCUACGGGAGNAG
rnacentral:rRNA from 1 species